rnacentral:ncRNA from 1 species
GAUCAGCAAAUGCUGGGGCAUAUGUUGGAUAUGCGACGGAACUCCCGGCAAAACAGCUUGCAAAGGUGAUUCCCUUUUC